AACGCGAAGAACCUUACCUGGGCUCGAAAUGGAGUGGACCGGAGUGGAAACAUUCCUUCCCCGCAAGGGGCUGCUCUAUAGGUGCUGCAUGGCUGUCGUCAGCUCGUGUCGUGAGAUGUUGGGUUAAGUCCCGCAACGAGCGCAACCCUUAUUACCAGUUGCCACCAUUUAGUUGGGCACUCUGGUGAGACCGCCUCGGAUAACGGGGAGGAAGGCGGGGAUGACGUCAAGUCCUCAUGGCCUUUAUGUCCAGGGCUACACACGUGCUACAAUGGCCGGUACAAACCGUCGCAAACCCGUGAGGGGGAGCUAAUCGGAAAAAGCCGGCCUCAGUUCGGAUUGGAGUCUGCAACUCGACUCCAUGAAGCUGGAAUCGCUAGUAAUCGCGGAUCAGAACGCCGCGGUGAAUACGUUCCCGGGCCUUGUA
rnacentral:rRNA from 1 species